AUAAAUAAAUUUAAAAGCAUAAUGAAACGAAGAUGCAAACAGUAAUCGAAUUAUUUUUUAAGUACAUAAUUUUAACACAUAAAAAAAGACUUCGUGAUCUUCAAUUUCGCAUUGAAAAAAAGAAAAAAGCUUUAAGCAAUGGCUGUUUCUCCUUCUCCACCAUCAAAGAAGAAGAAUAAGAACAAGAAGAGCAACAACGCCAACAUCGAGACAACUCGGCCUACUGACUCAGCUUACUCAACUGACCCACCACCACCACAACUCAGUCCAAAACGUCGUCGUAACAGUUCGCCUGGAGUUCGACUCAUCCAUGGUCGAAUCUAUGAUUCUCAGAACGGCAAGACUUGUCACCAGUGUAGGCAAAAAACAGUGGAUUUUGCAGCUUCUUGCAAGACAAAGAUUAAUGGGAAGCAAUGUACCAUCCAUUUUUGUCACAAAUGUCUCUUGAACAGAUAUGGGGAAAAGGCUGAGGAGGUGGCUUUGUUGAAUGAUUGGACUUGUCCAAGAUGUAGAGGAAUUUGCAACUGUAGUUUCUGCAUGAAGAAACGAGGUCACCAGCCUACUGGUGUACUUGUACAUGCAGCAAAGGCAAAUGGGUUCGCCUCAGUUUCAGAUAUGUUGCAUCUUAAGGAUUCCGAAAAAUCGGGUUCUCAAGAGCCUGUUGAUGUAGCUGUGUCUUCCAAAAAGCGAAAAGCUGCAGAAGAUGAGGAUUCUGAAGUUAAGGGAACUGGUAAUAGCAGAAAGGAAAGCAGUUGUAAAGAGCCUAAUGGUUUGAUACGAGCCAAUGACAAAAGGGAUGUAACUAGUAAUACCAAGUUGAUGAAACGCAGCAAGAACGGUAAGGAAAUUGUCUCCGAAGGCAAUGAUCUCCAAAAGAUUAGUCCUAAAAAGCCUAAGAUCUCCAUGAAGGUGUUGAACGAAGGCAAAGUGAUUAAUGACAUGAUUACUGCUAUCCAACUAAUUGACAUGAAGGCGCCUAUGAAGUGUGAUCAUGGAGAAGAUGAAGUGCUAAACAAUGCAGACCCUGUAGUGAAGAACAAGCCGAUUUGUAGGUCUCCAAAUCUUAAGAAGAAAAAUAUAAAAGCCAAAAACGAAACUUCUGAUGCUGAAAUUGUAUUGCGUCAAGGCACAUCAUUAAACCAUAUCGAUGGCAUUGACUUGCCUGUCGAGGAUGUUGGCCAUGCCUUACAAUUUCUAGAAUUUUGUGAAGUUUUUGGAGAGGUUCUCAAUAUGAAGAAAGGACAGUCUCAGCUGUUACUUAAAGAGUUAUUUACUGGAAAAAGUAAACGCAAGCACAAAUUACGUCAUCCUUCAAUUGUGCAGUUCCACAUUCUACUGCUAUCCAUGAUGCAAAAGGAUUUAGGAAAAGAGUAUCCUUGCUUAAAUAAGAACUUAAGUGAAAAAUCAUGGGUGAAAGUUCUUGUAGAAUACAUAAAUGAUUCUCAAUAUCCAUUAAAGCAGCCAUUGUUGGAUUGUUUAGAUGUAGGUGGUGGUGAUAAAUAUGAGCGAUUAAAUUCCUCUAAAAAGCUCAAAGUCUUAAAUUUUCUAUGUGAUGAAGCUCUCAGCACCACAGAUUUUAGAAGCUGGAUCGAUAAACAAAAUUUGAAAUUUGUUGAAAGACAAAAGAAAGCAAAAGAGAAACUUCUUUCACAGAGGGAGAAGGAGAGAAACCUUGAAAAAGAGAUGAAGAAGAAGUUGCAGGAUGAGAUAGCCAAAGCUAUUCUUAUGAGAAAUGGUGCACCUCUUUCCAUUUCAGAAAAUGAAGAGCUUCUUUCGAGAAUAAAGUCAGAAGUGGCUCAAACUCUUGAAGUGGCCCGUACUCUAGCAAGUACACUGGAAGUGUCUGAGACAGUGGUCGACGAGGAGGACGAGCCGUUAAAUCCUGUUAGAUCAGAGCCAAUAUUUUGGGAUGGCCAUGGUCACAGAUUCUGGAAAUUGAGAAGCUACUCUAGUGAAACAGAUGUUUUACUUCAAGUUUCCACUAAUGUGCAGAUAUUGAGGGCAGUGAUCUAGUUGCAGCUAAAGAAAAAUGGUACACCUACAGCACCGAACAAAAACCAAUCGUUGAGAAAUAUAUUUCAUCUUUCAGGAUGCAAAGGAAAUAAGCAAAGCAAUAUGCCCGCUUAUAGUUUCAAGAAAAAUACUGUAGUUACUGCAUAGUGUUUUAAUCUAUCUAUAUAGCCUCAAAACUCUUAAGGAGAGCAAGUCACUUUGUGUACCAAAUUACCAAUGUUGAGGUCAGUUUUCUCCUUAAAUGUUGCCCCCUUAAUGAGCCAUGUUUGUAUCCUAUAUUUGUUCUGUGUAUGUCACUCAAGAAACUAAAUAUGAUAUGUUGUGGUUUUAUCUCAUAAACUUUCUCAACAGAGGGAAUGGAACGGCCUUACAGAGAAUUGUCAUAUACGUCUAUGUAUUUGUUGAAUGAAAUUUGUUUCGCUAGUGUUUAAAUAAAA